rnacentral:ncRNA from 1 species
GUUCCGCAAGGAUUAAUAGAGAAACCGGUGCAAGUCCGGUACGAUCCCGUCACUGUAAUAGGGAGUUUCGGAAUAAAAAAUGUCACUGGACCAUGUGAACAGUAAUAUGAAAGCUGGCCUGGGAAGGCGAUUUCGAAGCGAUAAUCUUAAGUCAGGAGAACUGCUUACAAU